rnacentral:rRNA from 1 species
UACGUAGGUGACAAGCGUUGUCCGGAUUUACUGGGCGUAAAGAGCGCGCAGGCGGUCGUUCAAGUCGAGUGUGAAAGCCCCCGGCUCAACUGGGGAGGGUCACUCGAUACUGAUCGACUCGAAGGCAGGAGAGGGUAGUGGAAUUCCCGGUGUAGUGGUGAAAUGCGUAGAUAUCGGGAGGAACACCUGUGGCGAAGGCGGCCGCCUGGUUGGAUACUGACGCUGAGACGCGAAAGCGUGGGGAGCAAACAGG